rnacentral:rRNA from 1 species
UACGGAGGGUGCAAGCGUUAUCCGGAUUCACUGGGCUUAAAGCGUGUGUAGGCGGACCGUUAAGUGUCUUGUGAAAUCCCCCGGCUCAACCGGGGAAUUGCUGGGCAUACUGGCGGUCUUGAGCAGUCUAGGGGCAGAUGGAACAAGUGGUGGAGCGGUGAAAUGCGUAGAUAUCACUUGGAACGCCAAAGGUGAAAACAGCUUGCUGGGAGUGUGCUGACGCUGAGACACGAAAGCCAGGGGAGCAAACGGG